GAUGAACGCUGGCGGCGUGCCUAAUACAUGCAAGUCGAGCGAACAGAUAAGGAGCUUGCUCCUUUGAAGUUAGCGGCGGACGGGUGAGUAACACGUGGGUAACCUACCUAUAAGACUGGGAUAACUUCGGGAAACCGGAGCUAAUACCGGAUAACAUUUAGAACCGCAUGGUUCUAAAGUGAAAGAUGGUUUUGCUAUCACUUAUAGAUGGACCCGCGCCGUAUUAGCUAGUUGGUAAGGUAACGGCUUACCAAGGCGACGAUACGUAGCCGACCUGAGAGGGUGAUCGGCCACACUGGAACUGAGACACGGUCCAGACUCCUACGGGAGGCAGCAGUAGGGAAUCUUCCGCAAUGGGCGAAAGCCUGACGGAGCAACGCCGCGUGAGUGAUGAAGGGUUUCGGCUCGUAAAACUCUGUUAUUAGGGAAGAACAAAUGUGUAAGUAACUGUGCACAUCUUGACGGUACCUAAUCAGAAAGCCACGGCUAACUACGAG
rnacentral:rRNA from 1 species